UCAUAUUAUAUGAAACCAUAACUGGAAGUAAUCAAUUCAUAUAAAACAUAUGUCCAUGGCUUCGAAUUCACCUCUAACUAAGAAGAAAUUCAGUCACACAUGUUCAUAAUAAUUGAAAAGCAAUCUAGAAUAAACAUUUAAACUAAUCAAUGGAAGAACUCUGAAAACCCCAAUGGAUGCAGCAGGUUCCGGCUCCAAGUUCUUCUUCUCUCUUUCUCCUUUCUUG
rnacentral:lncRNA from 1 species